rnacentral:sRNA from 1 species
UUUUAGCCCAGAUGGAAAUGAAAAGCCCACGACAACAAAAAGAUAGUUUUUUUUGGAUUAAAAAAGCGACCAGCGGAAGCUCUUUUUGGGCUUUAAAAAAACAUUUUUUUGUAACGUGGGCUUGCAAUGAACAGCUGGAUUAGCU